rnacentral:rRNA from 1 species
UAGGGAAUCUUCGGCAAUGGACGGAAGUCUGACCGAGCAACGCCGCGUGAGUGAAGAAGGUUUUCGGAUCGUAAAGCUCUGUUGUAAGAGAAGAACGAGUGUGAGAGUGGGAAGUUCACACUGUGACGGUAUCUUACCAGAAAGGGACGGCUAACUACGUGCCAGCAGCCGCGGUAAUACGUAGGUCCCGAGCGUUGUCCGGAUUUAUUGGGCGUAAAGCGAGCGCAGGCGGUUAGAUAAGUCUGAAGUUAAAGGCUGUGGCUUAACCAUAGUAGGCUUUGGAAACUGUUUAACUUGAGUGCAAGAGGGGAGAGUGGAAUUCCAUGUGUAGCGGUGAAAUGCGUAGAUAUAUGGAGGAACACCGGUGGCGAAAGCGGCUCUCUGGCUUGUAACUGACGCUGAGGCUCGAAAGCGUGGGGAGCAAACAGGAUUAGAUACCCUGGUAGUCCACGCUGUAAACGAUGAGUGCUAGGUGUUAGACCCUUUCCGGGGUUUAGUGCCGUAGCUAACGCAUUAAGCACUCCGCCUGGGGAGUACGACCGCAAGGUUG